GCCCGGUUAGCUCAAUCGGUAGAGCGUGAGACUCUUACGAGUGCGCGAUCUCAAGGUUGCGGGUUCGACCCCCGCAUCGGGCU
rnacentral:tRNA from 2 species